CAGCCGCCGGGGAAUACGAAGGGGGCUAGCGUUGUUCGGAAUUACUGGGCGUAAAGCGCACGUAGGCGGAUAUUUAAGUCAGGGGUGAAAUCCCAGAGCUCAACUCUGGAACUGCCUUUGAUACUGGGUAUCUUGAGUAUGGAAGAGGUGAGUGGAAUUCCGAGUGUAGAGGUGAAAUUCGUAGAUAUUCGGAGGAACACCAGUGGCGAAGGCGGCUCACUGGUCCAUUACUGACGCUGAGGUGCGAAAGCGUGGGGAGCAAACAGGAUUAGAUACCCCCGUAGUCCCUGUCUCUUAUACA
rnacentral:rRNA from 1 species